rnacentral:rRNA from 1 species
UACGAAGGGGGCUAGCGUUGCUCGGAAUUACUGGGCGUAAAGCGCACGUAGGCGGCUUUCUAAGUCGGGGGUGAAAUCCUGGAGCUCAACUCCAGAACUGCCUUCGAUACUGGAAAGCUCGAGUCCGGGAGAGGUGAGUGGAACUGCGAGUGUAGAGGUGAAAUUCGUAGAUAUUCGCAGGAACACCAGUGGCGAAGGCGACUCGCUGGUCUUUUGCUGACGCUGAGACGCGAAAGCGUGGGGAGCAAACAGG